rnacentral:SRP_RNA from 1 species
GCCAGGUGCAAUGGCACGAGCCUAUAGUCCCAGUUACUCAGGGGGCUAAGGCUGGAGGAUCGCUUGAGCCAGGAGUUCUGGGCUGCAGUGCGCUAUGCCGAUUGGGUGUCCGCACUAAGUUUGGCAUCAAUAUGACGACCUCCAGGGAGCGGGGGACCACCAGGUUGCUUAAGGAGGGAUGAACUGGCCCAGGUUGGAAACAGAGCAGGUCAAAGCUCCUGUACUGAUCAGUAGUGGGAUUGCACCUGUAAAUAGCCACUGCAUUCCAGCCUGGGCAACAUAGCGAGAUCCUGUCUCU